GGCCUCGUAGUUCAGUUGGCAGUGCAUUGGACUAGUAUCCCAAAGGUCGCGGGUUCGAUUCCCACCGUGGUCA